AUUAAUUUAAAUUACUUUGGCAGAUUAGUGUAAUGAAUUUAGAAUUCAUAAAAGUAAAAAUUUUACAAGUAAUAC
rnacentral:tRNA from 1 species